CAGUAGCCGCGGUAAUACGUAGGGUGCGAGCGUUAAUCGGAAUUACUGGGCGUAAAGCGUGCGCAGGCGGUUCGUUAAGACAGAUGUGAAAUCCCCGGGCUUAACCUGGGGACUGCAUUUGUGACUGGCGAGCUAGAGUAUGGCAGAGGGGGGUAGAAUUCCACGUGUAGCAGUGAAAUGCGUAGAGAUGUGGAGGAAUACCGAUGGCGAAGGCAGCCCCCUGGGCCAAUACUGACGCUCAUGCACGAAAGCGUGGGGAGCAAACAGGAUUAGAUACCCCUGUAGUCCCUGUCUCUUAUAC
rnacentral:rRNA from 1 species